rnacentral:rRNA from 1 species
ACCUACGGGAGGCAGCAGUGAGGAAUAUUGGUCAAUGGGCGGGAGCCUGAACCAGCCAAGUCGCGUGAGGGACGACGGUCCUAUGGAUUGUAAACCUCUUUUGUCGGGGAACAAAGGCGCCCACGGGUGGGCGGAUGAGUGUACCCGAAGAAAAAGCAUCGGCUAACUCCGUGCCGGCAGCCGCGGUAAUACGGAGGAUGCGAGCGUUAUCCGGAUUUAUUGGGUUUAAAGGGUGCGUAGGCGGACAGUCAAGUCAGCGGUAAAAAUGCGGUGCUCAACCCCGGCCCGCCGUUGAAACUGGCAGU